ensembl:processed_transcript Gm16759 predicted gene, 16759
UUAAACUUCAGAGCCACUUGGACCGGGUUUACAGCACAAAGCUGUCAUGUGAUCAGAGGUCAGAAGAGGGCUUCAGAUCCACUGGAACUAAACUGAUGCAUGGUUCUGAGCCUUGAUAUGGGUGCUGGGAAUUGAACCUGGGUCCUCUGCAAGAACAAGUGAGCUUAAUUGCCAAGCCAACUCUCCAGCACACAAAACUAGUUCCUUUAACCUUUGUAUUUAUUCGUACAUAUGACCAUCAUAUACGUCCAGACCAGUACAAAGCUACAAUCUAUUUUAUUAAAAAAACAAAAAACAAAAACACCUAACUUGUAAGAAACUCAACUGUACACACCCAUGUGCUCAGCUCAGCGUGCAUGCACAUGUGCACACAUUAUUCUCCUGGUAGGCUAAUGCUUUGUCAUUUGGUAUCUAACUUAAUAAACAUGUUCUUCUUUGCUGCACUUU